rnacentral:lncRNA from 1 species
GUUCACUUUGGGUCCCCUCACGACAAGAAAGACAUCAUGGGCCUGGUUCAGAGAAGGGCAAUUAAGCUUAUGAGGGAUGUGGAGCACAAGUCUUAUAAGUAGCAGCUGAGGGAGCUGGGAUUAUUUAAUCUGGAGUGACCUUAUUGCUCUAUACAACUGCCUGAAAGGAGUUUGUGGCAAGGUGGAGGUUAGCCUCUUCUCCCACAUACCUAGUGAUAGGAUGAGAGGGAAUGGCCUAGAGCUGCACAAGAGGAGGUUCAGAUUGGAUGUAAGGAAAAAUUUCUUCACUAAUGUCAUUCACUAUAAUGGGCAGUGGAGUCAUCAACCCUGGAGAUGCUCAAGAACCAUUAAGAAGUUGUACUAAAAGGGAAAUGGCUUAAUGGGGAAAUAUUGGUGGCAGGUGGAUGUUUGGACUAGAUGAUCUUGGAGGUCUUUUCCAACCAUACUCAUUCUAUGAUACUACAAAUCACAACUCAGAAAGUCACUGACCUUGGCUGCUCUUCUGGGACAUCAAAUCCCUUGAUGCUAUUUUUCACUGCUAUUAACCUCUUCUCUUCAGAUGAGAUUGACAUCUUCCUCUCUUAACAGGGCCUUAUGACAGUCCAAACUCCCAUUCCUCAGACCUGUUGCUCAGCCCAUCCAGUGAUGACAUGUCCCUGGCAGUUCAAGCUUUUUCUCAUGUCACUGCAUUCCUCAAGGGAACUCUUCAAUGAUUCUUUUUUUUCUCCCCUUCUUUUCUGUGGUGAUGAGCUCUGGCUUUGGAUAAGAAGGCUGUUUUUGCUGUCAGUGGGCACAGGUAUGCCACAGGCCUACCUUCACAGCAUACCUUGGCCAUUGGCCACUGAGAUGACAGAAUUUCUCAUCAUCCCCAAGGACUUCUCUUGCAUCUGGAUAUGCAUCUCUCCUCCUGAAGCUGGAUCUAAAGCACAGUGCCAGAAUCACUCUGAUGUUGUCUUCACCAUAACUAUAGCAUAAGAGUAGUCAAUUUACUGCAAUCCUGCACACCACUUAAAUAAAUUUCAGAGGGGAUAAUUCCUUUUAAAUAGA